ensembl:misc_RNA 7SK 7SK RNA
AGAUAUGAGGGCAGUCUGACAGUGACAUCUGUCAACCCAUUGAUUGCUAUGGUUGAUUUAACUGGCUAGCUAGAAUUCUAGCCCCAUUCCUCCCUCACCAUUCCAUGUGCAUUUCUCGCACUGAGUACUCUAUGGAAGAGAAUGACCUUCCAUGAUGGAGGGAGAUGUUUAUUGGUCAAGAAUAUUCGUGCACCUGUGGUCCCCUGCUGGAACCUCCUAGCAGGCUCUCAAAGUUCAUACCGUCUCUUCAUCUUUGACUGAAUUAAAAAGGUUGGCAGAUAAUAAAACAUCAAAUAAUGAGUUAAUAUAGUUU